rnacentral:rRNA from 1 species
CAUGCAAGUCGAACGGCAGCAUGAUCUAGCUUGCUAGAUUGAUGGCGAGUGGCGAACGGGUGAGUAAUACAUCGGAACGUGCCCUGUAGUGGGGGAUAACUAGUCGAAAGAUUAGCUAAUACCGCAUACGACCUGAGGGUGAAAGUGGGGGACCGCAAGGCCUCAUGCUAUAGGAGCGGCCGAUGUCUGAUUAGCUAGUUGGUGAGGUAAAGGCUCACCAAGGCGACGAUCAGUAGCUGGUCUGAGAGGACGAUCAGCCACACUGGGACCGAGACACGGCCCAGACUCCUACGGGAGGCAGCAGUGGGGAAUUUUGGACAAUGGGGGCAACCCUGAUCCAGCAAUGCCGCGUGUGUGAAGAAGGCCUUCGGGUUGUAAAGCACUUUUGUCCGGAAAGAAAUCGCACUUACUAAUAUUAGGUGUGGAUGACGGUACCGGAAGAAUAAGGACCGGCUAACUACGUGCCAGCAGCCGCGGUAAUACGUAGGGUCCAAGCGUUAAUCGGAAUUACUGGGCGUAAAGCGUGCGCCGGCGGUUGUGCAAGACCGAUGUGAAAUCCCCGGGCUUAACCUGGGAAUUGCAUUGGUGACUGCACGGCUAGAGUGUGUCAGAGGGGGGUAGAAUUCCACGUGUAGCAGUGAAAUGCGUAGAGAUGUGGAGGAAUACCGAUGGCGAAGGCAGCCCCCUGGGAUAACACUGACGCUCAUGCACGAAAGCGUGGGGAGCAAACAGGAUUAGAUACCCUGGUAGUCCACGCCCUAAACGAUGUCAACUAGUUGUUGGGGAUUCAUUUCCUUAGUAACGUAGCUAACGCGUGAAGUUGACCGCCUGGGGAGUACGGUCGCAAGAUUAAAACUCAAGGGAAUUGACGGGGACCCGCACAAGCGGUGGAUGAUGUGGAUUAAUUCGAUGCAACGCGAAAAACCUUACCUACCCUUGACAUGCCA